rnacentral:rRNA from 1 species
AACGAAGGAUGCAAGCGUUAUCCGGAUUCAUUGGGUUUAAAGGGAGCGUAGGUGGCCUUAUAAGUCAGUGGUGAAAUCUCUGGGCUUAACCCAGAAAUUGCCAUUGAUACUGUAGGGCUUGAGUAUAGUUGCCGUUGGCGGAAUAUGACAUGUAGUGGUGAAAUACAUAGAGAUGUCAUAGAACACCGAUUGCGAAGGCAGCUGACGAAACUAUAACUGACACUGAGGCUCGAAAGUGUGGGGAUCAAACAGG